CAUUUUUGUGGCAACUGCUUAUUACAAACAAAUGAAAUAGUAUGAGCUUACGGUUACUUUUUAUUUUACUGUCAAAUGGUGUAUGUAUUUAGAUUAGAAUCACCACACUGUAGUUAUGGAAAUACCAAUUUCUUUUCUGGUUUUAUAUUAAAACUUUGGUCUAAGCACCAAGUUCAUUUUUUCUGUUGCUUCAUAAAACUUAAUUUGUAUAGCUAUUUACUUUCAAAUCAUUGACAAUUUUUUAAAAAUAUGAUUCUAAACUUAUUAGAUACCUAAUUAAAAGGUUUAGAAAAGGAAUUAGUAAUAUUUUAUAUGUAUGUGUAUUGAUAUUGUCUACUUUGGAAUGAUUACUAAAAUGUAAGCACUAUGUUGAAGUUGUCUCUUUUAAUGUAAUUCUCAUGAGUUUUUUUAGUAACCAAAUGUAAUCCGUGACAUCACACAAUUUUAUCGUAACAUCCUUUCAUUUCCUUAGCUUUAGAAUUAUGUUCAGUGAAGAUUAAAUACAUUCUGAUUUGAUUAUUAAUGAAGUUCCAUCUCAUUUGUUUUGUGAUAAUGUUUUUUAUUGUACUUGUAGUUUUUUUUAUAGAUAUUUUGUUACUGAAUAGCAGACAAAGAUUUUGUUUUGUCGAAAAAAAAAAUUGUAAUUAAAAAAAUGUGAAGAU